UGCUUAGUGGGUCGUGCGCGGUGGUGUCGUGAGCACGUGUUUUGUUCGUGAGUCUACCUGCAUAGUUCUUAAUCGCGAUUCUUGAAAUGUUAAUGCGAUAGUGACAUGGACGACAAUGAAUUUCAUCCAGUGUGCCUUACAGUUAUUGAAUUGUCGCUCAUGGAAUCGGAUAUUGUGUUACUUUGCUAACCUUCGUGGCUGCUGUCGGAUACCGUCCGCUUGCUACUAUGUCGAAUUGGUAUUACAGUGGAAUUCCGGUAAUCCGAUAAACACUUUGCAGGGCAUUGUCGAAUUAGCGAAUUUGUCGGAUUAUACUUUUUACAAAAUAGUACCUUGUAAUCCGACAAUUUACAAAUUCAAUGAUAAGAUUUAUUCAAUUAAAAUUCAGUGAAUUAAACAACCAAAUAAAAAAAUUACGUUUUACAUAUUAUAAAAUUUACAUAUUAUACGUUUUACAAUAUGUAUCUUGAUCGAAGCUACAUUUAUUUAAAACUAUACCCUAUGCCUCGAGCACAAUUAUUAUAGUGGUACGAACAAAUUAUAACUGGAUCAUUCUUGCAUUUGCGACCCUUGUUGUCGGAUUACAAGAGAUGCCGAAUUAACCUGGAUUACCGGGAUUGUACUGUAUUAUUUAUUUAUUCAACGGUUAAUUUAUUAGAAUAAGUAUUAAUUCUUACUAAUCUGAAAUGUCUGUUGCCAACAGAAGAACAGUUAAGUGAGUGACGUCAAUGAAAAUUGAAACAAACGUAUUCAUUAAUUUGAUUAUGUAUUUGCAGCUAUAGAAAAUAGUUUCACCACACGUUAAAGAAACACAAGUACUUCCUUGAUUGUAUGACCCCAAUAAAAGUAUACGCCGUACCUUGGAGUCUGAUGAGUUCUGCAUUAACAUUAACUUAAACGUUAACGCAACUCUCUACGGUGCCCUGAAUGGAAGUCACUUUUACCGCUACCCUCAUACGGUGCCCCAAAUGGGAAUCACUUCUACCGCUACUAAUUUUUGCUUCUUUUAGAAAGUCGGACAUCGUAGAAGGACCAUUCUAGCAUCAGAUUGGCUUUUGAACCUGAGUCUGACAUCGUAAAAGGACCAUUCUAGCAUCAGAUUGAAUUUUGCACCUGAGUCUGACAUCGUAGAACGACCAUUCUGGUAUCAAAUUGAAAGGAUUUUGCACCUGUGUCUAACAUCGUAGAAGGACCAUUCUGGCAUCAGAUGGGAUUUUGCACCUGAGUCUAACAUCGUAGAAGGACCAUUCUAGCAUCAGAUUGGAUUUUGCACCUGACUCUGACAUCGUAGAAGGACCAUUCUGGUAUCAGAUUGGAUUUUGCACCUGAGUCUGACAUCGUAGAAGGACCAUUCUUACAUCAAAUUGGAUUUUGCACCUGAGUCUGACAUCGUAGAAGGACCAUUCUUACAUCAAAUUGGAUUUUGCACCUGAAUCUGACAUCGUAGAAGGACCAUUCUUGCAUCAGAUUGGAUUUUGCACCUGAGUCUGACAUCGUAGAAGGACCAUUCUUGCAUCAGAUUGUUAGUAUUAAAUUAUCUUAAAUAACUUUUGUGAUUAUUAUACAAAUUGACUCCCAAAAUUAAUGCUUGUGUGUUUUCUUUAAUAAAGAAUAUUUUUAAGUUUUUCUAAUCAAAA